UACGUAGGUGGCAAGCGUUGUCCGGAUUUAUUGGGUUUAAAGGGCGCGUAGGCGGUUCUGUAAGUCAGUGGUGAAAUCCGGCAGCUCAACUGUCGAUGUGCCAUUGAUACUGCAGAACUUGAGUACAGACGAGGUAGGCGGAAUUGACGGUGUAGCGGUGAAAUGCUUAGAUAUCGUCAAGAACACCGAUAGCGAAGGCAGCUUACUAGACUGUAACUGACGCUGAUGCACGAAAGUGUGGGGAUCAAACAGG
rnacentral:rRNA from 1 species